CCCCCCCCCGCCCCGCGCGCGUGUGCUUCAGCGCCUGGUUGACGGAGCGAGCCAGGCUGCUCUUGCUCGCGCAGCGGGCCCCCUCCCCCCGCGCAGGCGCAGUCGCGCUUGGCCUGGCCCGGGCUGGCCUCCCGGGGAAAGGAGGGGAGGGGGGAGAAGAGGAAGGAGCUGGAUUAGCCUCCUUCACGCCCCGUGUUCUGCACUCCUACGAGCUAGCCCUCUGUGUGCACACGUUGUGUUAAGCAGCGACCGUGUGCAGAGGACGCAGAGACCAGUACUGUAUGUACACGAAUCCAAGACUGCAGUCUCCUCCCCAGGAUUGUGAAGAAAUUGUGGCAAAAGGCAGCGUACCAUUUUGCAAGCACAUCCAAGUGCGGAGAGUGUCUGAAGAACAAUGUUUGCCGAUAACAAAUGCCGAUGACACCAGUUCCGAAGUCUUGUUCGAGGAAGAUAACCUCUGCUUACAAGCCUUGUGGGUUACUUCCCCUUCUGGCUUGAUACUGUUAUAAUGCAAACCCUGAAGUCACAAGCUUCCUUUUAUUCCACAGAAUCACCACAAUAUUAUUAUCCUGGUCUCAUGAGAUGUAUUUUGAAAGUGCAGACUGCUAGGCGGCUGGAUCAUUCAAAUACAGUUAAUGCAGCAAGAUUACGUUAGCCAUCCAAUUUAGCAGGGUAAUAUUCAGCUUUGCCAGCAGUGUCUCCUUAAUUCUCUUUAUUAAAACCGCCACUCUCCUGAUAUCUGUGGUAUUUUAUUACCUUGUCCCUGGAGUGCUAAUUUGGGGACUGGUGUCCUUCAAAAGUAGGGGGUAUCCUUUCCUGCCUUCCAGUCAAAGAGCUCUAGAUUUUCAACAAUGCAAAGUUAAAUGUGUGUCCCAAAGUAAACCCAAAAUUAAAUACAAAAACCCCUUAAGCUCUUCUAUUUGAAAUACAUCUCAGGCCUUUCUUUCCUAUUGUUUUUUUAAUGAAUAAAGUUCCCUCCCUGGCAGCAUCUCCAAGAGAGGGCUGAGAGAGAUUCCUGCCUGCAACCUUGGAGAACCUGCUGCCAGCCUGUGAAGACAAUACUGAGCUAGAUGAAACAAGGGUCUGACUCAGUAUAUGGCAGCUUCUGAUGUUCCUAUUAACUCUUAGGGGAAAUGAUAUAUUUAUAGCUCUGCCUAAGAGAAAAUGUAUCACUCAGCAGCAUAAAGAGAACCUCUUAAAGUAUUUUGGGGGGUGUAUGUGUGUGCGUGUGCGCGCACACACACACCCCAUGGCAACGGUCUUCAAUGAAGCAGUAAACUCAAAUCCUUUGUAAGCUGUACCCAUGCUUAUGGGGAUACUGCUGAAAAGUGAAUUUCUCUCAAAAAAGAGCUCAAGCUGGCAUUGUCUGAACAUCUGCGCAGAGGAAAAUAAACAUCCAUUUUCAUAAUUUAUGGAAGAAAUCCUGUUUGAGAUGGCCUGGAGGGAACAAACAGAAGUGUUACCCAGCACAUCCUCAAGCAAGGAGUGGGGUGGGGUGCACAUUACCUGCCAGCCUGCCCUGGACACCAUGGAUUGUGCCGUGGAGAUGUGCCAUGCUCUCAUUCCAUGCUGUGCCAUGCAAAGCACUCCCCACGCACCACGCCUUGUGUUCAUGACCCUGGCCCACAAAUUUUGGCCUUUGAUACCAUCUCUGGGGAUGGACACUCAUAGUGAUUUCUGGCAAUGCCUACCCCCGCAGAGAUGGGAAACGGGUGACAGCAUUUCUGUGAUUACAACUUUCUUUCGUGUCAUCGCCCCCUUUUUAAUCCCCUCCCCAAACUAUUAGGGUGAAAUUACAGUCAGUUUUGCACAGAGGAAAGAGUUAGGGUAACAGUGAUGGAAUUGCUGUGCUCUCUCCAUGUAGUAAUCUUUGGAGGACGUUCCUGGCAAGAAGGUGACUGGAAGAGACACUGUGGGGUCGGAGUUGGCUCCAUCUGGCGACCCGCCCCACCCCCUUCUGGAUCGGAAGAGGGGCUCUGGAUGCAUCUUCUGUGCUCGUCUCUCCCUUUGGCUGUUAUCUGUUGUUUUGCUGAAUUUAAUUGCUCUAACACCUUGCACCUAGGCUGGGUUUGCCUGAUUUGGGGGCGGGGGGGGCGGAUGAGAGACAAGUCUGUUUAGGGUUGCCAUGUCCCCUGGAAUUUAGGAUAGCCUCCAGAUUUUGGCUCUUCCACCCGUCUGCUCAAUUCCACCCGGAUUUACACGGACUUCAAAUGCACUGCCCGGAUUUUACUCUAGAUCCGAUCACACGGGUGGGCAGAGGAGGAGGGGGAAGUCUACAAACCCCGUCGAAUAAAUAAAAUGCAAAUUAGCUGCUGCACGAUUUACAUAAUAUGCAAAUUCAGUCACCCAGAUUUGGGGGAUUUGAAUAUGGCAACCCUAAGCCUGUUGGGCUUUUAAACUUCUGGCCCUUCUAAAGGGGAACAAUGGGUGGGGAGGGGCAGACCCCAGUGCAGCUGCUGGCCACCUACAGGUGGCUACCAAAGGGGGCCGGCCUCUGAUGGUGGCCGUUGGGAGUGGGCCUGAAGGCUGGGGCCAAAGGUCUUGUUUUGGACUCCGAAAAGGAAGAGCCCUGCUGACUACAGUAUUGCUGUUGCCUCGGAACUGGUUGGGCCUAGUACAGGUUUGUGUCUUGGAUUGUCCAGAGAUGGGGAGGCGGGGGAUGUCUCUGGGGCAGCUAUUCCAGUGAUAGUGGGAGAUCGACGAAGAUACGGUGCAAGUAGGUCAGCAGGCCAUUACCGGGCAAGGGAACUGCUGUUUCCCCUUCCAGCAGGCCUACCACCUCUUUGACCUUGGAGAGCAGUGCCAGCUACCCCUAGGAUUACUCGGUAAUGCCAGACUCACCUUAUGACUCAGAAAUGCCGGGUCAGUCCAACACAAGUCUGAGAUAAUUUAAAUUUUUUAAAUUUUAAUGUGUUUUUAUCUGUUAUGAUUUUCAAUCUUUUUAUGAAUUUUACAUGUUUUAUAUUUUGUAGUAUGUUUUAAUUCUGUACACCGCCUAAAGGUUUCUAUAUUGGGCGGUAUGAUAAACAAAUAAAUCCGUGACUUGAU